UACGGAGGGUGCAAGCGUUAUCCGGAUUUACUGGGUUUAAAGGGUGCGUAGGUGGAUUGGUGCGUCAGUGGUGAAAUACUUUCGCUUAACGAAGGAACUGCCAUUGAUACUACCAGUCUUGAAUACAGUGGAGGUGGGCGGAAUGCGUCAUGUAGCGGUGAAAUGCUUAGAUAUGACGCAGAACACCAAUUGCGAAGGCAGCUUGCUACACUGUUAUUGACACUGAGGCACGAAAGCGUGGGGAUCAAACAGG
rnacentral:rRNA from 1 species